rnacentral:rRNA from 1 species
GCUUAACCGGAGAAGUGCAUCGGAAACUGGGAAACUUGAGUGCAGAAGAGGGCAGUGGAACUCCAUGUGUAGCGGUGAAAUGCGUAGAUAUAUGGAAGAACACCAGUGGCGAAGGCGGCUGUCUGGUCUGUAACUGACGCUGAGGCUCGAAAGUAUGGGUAGCAAACAGGAUUAGAUACCCUGGUAGUCCAUACCGUAAACGAUGAAUGCUAAGUGUUGGAGGGUUUCCGCCCUUCAGUGCUGCAGCUAACGCAUUAAGCAUUCCGCCUGGGGAGUACGGUCGCAAGACUGAAACUCAAAGGAAUUGACGGGGGCCCGCACAAGCGGUGGAGCAUGUGGUUUAAUUCGAAGCUACGCGAAGAACCUUACCAGGUCUUGACAUACUAUGCAAAUCUAAGAGAUUAGACGUUCCCUUCGGGGACAUGGAUACAGGUGGUGCAUGGUUGUCGUCAGCUCGUGUCGUGAGAUGUUGGGUUAAGUCCCGCAACGAGCGCAACCCUUAUUACCAGUUGCCAGCAUUAAGUUGGGCACUCUGGUGAGACUGCCGGUGACAAACCGGAGGAAGGUGGGGAUGACGUCAAAUCAUCAUGCCCCUUAUGACCUGGGCUACACACGUGCUACAAUGGAUGGUACAACG